CCGGCGAUUUCCGAAUGGGGAAACCCAGUGUGUUUCGACACACUAUCAUUAACUGAAUCCAUAGGUUAAUGAGGCGAACCGGGGGAACUGAAACAUCUAAGUACCCCGAGGAAAAGAAAUCAACCGAGAUUCCCCCAGUAGCGGCGAGCGAACGGGGAGGAGCCCAGAGCCUGAAUCAGUGUGUGUGUUAGUGGAAGCGUCUGGAAAGGCGCGCGAUACAGGGUGACAGCCCCGUACACAAAAAUGCACAUAUUGUGAGCUCGAUGAGUAGGGCGGGACACGUGGUAUCCUGUCUGAAUAUGGGGGGACCAUCCUCCAAGGCUAAAUACUCCUGACUGACCGAUAGUGAACCAGUACCGUGAGGGAAAGGCGAAAAGAACCCCGGCGAGGGGAGUGAAAAAGAACCUGAAACCGUGUACGUACAAGCAGUGGGAGCCUCUUAAUGGGGUGACUGCGUACCUUUUGUAUAAUGGGUCAGCGACUUAUAUUCUGUAGCAAGGUUAACCGAAUAGGGGAGCCGAAGGGAAACCGAGUCUUAACUGGGCGUUAAGUUGCAGGGUAUAGACCCGAAACCCGGUGAUCUAGCCAUGGGCAGGUUGAAGGUUGGGUAACACUAACUGGAGGACCGAACCGACUAAUGUUGAAAAAUUAGCGGAUGACUUGUGGCUGGGGGUGAAAGGCCAAUCAAACCGGGAGAUAGCUGGUUCUCCCCGAAAGCUAUUUAGGUAGCGCCUCGUGAAUUCAUCUCCGGGGGUAGAGCACUGUUUCGGCAAGGGGGUCAUCCCGACUUACCAACCCGAUGCAAACUGCGAAUACCGGAGAAUGUUAUCACGGGAGACACACGGCGGGUGCUAACGUCCGUCGUGAAGAGGGAAACAACCCAGACCGCCAGCUAAGGUCCCAAAGUCAUGGUUAAGUGGGAAACGAUGUGGGAAGGCCCAGACAGCCAGGAUGUUGGCUUAGAAGCAGCCAUCAUUUAAAGAAAGCGUAAUAGCUCACUGGUCGAGUCGGCCUGCGCGGAAGAUGUAACGGGGCUAAACCAUGCACCGAAGCUGCGGCAGCGACACUAUGUGUUGUUGGGUAGGGGAGCGUUCUGUAAGCCUGUGAAGGUGGCCUGUGAGGGUUGCUGGAGGUAUCAGAAGUGCGAAUGCUGACAUAAGUAACGAUAAAGCGGGUGAAAAGCCCGCUCGCCGGAAGACCAAGGGUUCCUGUCCAACGUUAAUCGGGGCAGGGUGAGUCGACCCCUAAGGCGAGGCCGAAAGGCGUAGUCGAUGGGAAACAGGUUAAUAUUCCUGUACUUGGUGUUACUGCGAAGGGGGGACGGAGAAGGCUAUGUUGGCCGGGCGACGGUUGUCCCGGUUUAAGCGUGUAGGCUGGUUUUCCAGGCAAAUCCGGAAAAUCAAGGCUGAGGCGUGAUGACGAGGCACUACGGUGCUGAAGUGACAAAUGCCCUGCUUCCAGGAAAAGCCUCUAAGCAUCAGGUAACAUCAAAUCGUACCCCAAACCGACACAGGUGGUCAGGUAGAGAAUACCAAGGCGCUUGAGAGAACUCGGGUGAAGGAACUAGGCAAAAUGGUGCCGUAACUUCGGGAGAAGGCACGCUGAUAUGUAGGUGAAGCGACUUGCUCGUGGAGCUGAAAUCAGUCGAAGAUACCAGCUGGCUGCAACUGUUUAUUAAAAACACAGCACUGUGCAAACACGAAAGUGGACGUAUACGGUGUGACGCCUGCCCGGUGCCGGAAGGUUAAUUGAUGGGGUUAGCGGUAACGCGAAGCUCUUGAUCGAAGCCCCGGUAAACGGCGGCCGUAACUAUAACGGUCCUAAGGUAGCGAAAUUCCUUGUCGGGUAAGUUCCGACCUGCACGAAUGGCGUAAUGAUGGCCAGGCUGUCUCCACCCGAGACUCAGUGAAAUUGAACUCGCUGUGAAGAUGCAGUGUACCCGCGGCAAGACGGAAAGACCCCGUGAACCUUUACUAUAGCUUGACACUGAACAUUGAGCCUUGAUGUGUAGGAUAGGUGGGAGGCUUUGAAGUGUGGACGCCAGUCUGCAUGGAGCCGACCUUGAAAUACCACCCUUUAAUGUUUGAUGUUCUAACGUUGGCCCGUAAUCCGGGUUGCGGACAGUGUCUGGUGGGUAGUUUGACUGGGGCGGUCUCCUCCUAAAGAGUAACGGAGGAGCACGAAGGUUGGCUAAUCCUGGUCGGACAUCAGGAGGUUAGUGCAAUGGCAUAAGCCAGCUUGACUGCGAGCGUGACGGCGCGAGCAGGUGCGAAAGCAGGUCAUAGUGAUCCGGUGGUUCUGAAUGGAAGGGCCAUCGCUCAACGGAUAAAAGGUACUCCGGGGAUAACAGGCUGAUACCGCCCAAGAGUUCAUAUCGACGGCGGUGUUUGGCACCUCGAUGUCGGCUCAUCACAUCCUGGGGCUGAAGUAGGUCCCAAGGGUAUGGCUGUUCGCCAUUUAAAGUGGUACGCGAGCUGGGUUUAGAACGUCGUGAGACAGUUCGGUCCCUAUCUGCCGUGGGCGCUGGAGAACUGAGGGGGGCUGCUCCUAGUACGAGAGGACCGGAGUGGACGCAUCACUGGUGUUCGGGUUGUCAUGCCAAUGGCACUGCCCGGUAGCUAAAUGCGGAAGAGAUAAGUGCUGAAAGCAUCUAAGCACGAAACUUGCCCCGAGAUGAGUUCUCCCUGACUCCUUGAGAGUCCUGAAGGAACGUUGAAGACGACGACGUUGAUAGGCCGGGUGUGUAAGCGCAGCGAUGCGUUGAGCUAACCGGUACUAAUGAACCGUGAGGCUUAACCUUACAACGCCGAAG
rnacentral:rRNA from 1 species